UAAGCGACUAAGCGUACACGGUGGAUGCCCUGGCAGUCAGAGGCGAUGAAGGACGUGCUAAUCUGCGAUAAGCGUCGGUAAGGUGAUAUGAACCGUUAUAACCGGCGAUUUCCGAAUGAGGAAACCCAGUGUGAUUCGUCACACUAUCAUUAACUGAAUCCAUAGGUUAAUGAGGCGAACCGGGGGAACUGAAACAUCUAAGUACCCCGAGGAAAAGAAAUCAACCGAGAUUCCCCCAGUAGCGGCGAGCGAACGGGGAGCAGCCCAGAGCCUGAAUCAGUGUGUGUGUUAGUGGAAGCGUCUGGAAAGGCGCGCGAUACAGGGUGACAGCCCCGUACACAAAAAUGCACAUGCUGUGAGCUCGAUGAGUAGGGCGGGACACGUGGUAUCCAGUCUGAAUAUGGGGGGACCAUCCUCCAAGGCUAAAUACUCCUGACUGACCGAUAGUGAACCAGUACCGUGAGGGAAAGGCGAAAAGAACCCCGGCGAGGGGAGUGAAAAAGAACCUGAAACCGUGUACGUACAAGCAGUGGGAGCACAGAGCAAUCUGUGUGACUGCGUACCUUUUGUAUAAUGGGUCAGCGACUUAUAUUCUGUAGCAAGGUUAACCGAAUAGGGGAGCCGAAGGGAAACCGAGUCUUAACUGGGCGUUAAGUUGCAGGGUAUAGACCCGAAACCCGGUGAUCUAGCCAUGGGCAGGUUGAAGGUUGGGUAACACUAACUGGAGGACCGAACCGACUAAUGUUGAAAAAUUAGCGGAUGACUUGUGGCUGGGGGUGAAAGGCCAAUCAAACCGGGAGAUAGCUGGUUCUCCCCGAAAGCUAUUUAGGUAGCGCCUCGUGAAUUCAUCUCCGGGGGUAGAGCACUGUUUCGGCAAGGGGGUCAUCCCGACUUACCAACCCGAUGCAAACUGCGAAUACCGGAGAAUGUUAUCACGGGAGACACACGGCGGGUGCUAACGUCCGUCGUGAAGAGGGAAACAACCCAGACCGCCAGCUAAGGUCCCAAAGUCAUGGUUAAGUGGGAAACGAUGUGGGAAGGCCCAGACAGCCAGGAUGUUGGCUUAGAAGCAGCCAUCAUUUAAAGAAAGCGUAAUAGCUCACUGGUCGAGUCGGCCUGCGCGGAAGAUGUAACGGGGCUAAACCAUGCACCGAAGCUGCGGCAGCGACGCUGAUGCGUUGUUGGGUAGGGGAGCGUUCUGUAAGCCUGCGAAGGUGUGCUGUGAGGCAUGCUGGAGGUAUCAGAAGUGCGAAUGCUGACAUAAGUAACGAUAAAGCGGGUGAAAAGCCCGCUCGCCGGAAGACCAAGGGUUCCUGUCCAACGUUAAUCGGGGCAGGGUGAGUCGACCCCUAAGGCGAGGCCGAAAGGCGUAGUCGAUGGGAAACAGGUUAAUAUUCCUGUACUUGGUGUUACUGCGAAGGGGGGACGGAGGAGGCUAUGUUGGCCGGGCGACGGUUGUCCCGGUUUAAGCGUGUAGGCUGGUUUUCCAGGCAAAUCCGGAAAAUCAAGGCUGAGGCGUGAUGACGAGGCACUACGGUGCUGAAGCAACAAAUGCCCUGCUUCCAGGAAAAGCCUCUAAGCAUCAGGUAACAUCAAAUCGUACCCCAAACCGACACAGGUGGUCAGGUAGAGAAUACCAAGGCGCUUGAGAGAACUCGGGUGAAGGAACUAGGCAAAAUGGUGCCGUAACUUCGGGAGAAGGCACGCUGAUAUGUAGGUGAAGUCCCUCGCGGAUGGAGCUGAAAUCAGUCGAAGAUACCAGCUGGCUGCAACUGUUUAUUAAAAACACAGCACUGUGCAAACACGAAAGUGGACGUAUACGGUGUGACGCCUGCCCGGUGCCGGAAGGUUAAUUGAUGGGGUCAGCGCAAGCGAAGCUCUUGAUCGAAGCCCCGGUAAACGGCGGCCGUAACUAUAACGGUCCUAAGGUAGCGAAAUUCCUUGUCGGGUAAGUUCCGACCUGCACGAAUGGCGUAAUGAUGGCCAGGCUGUCUCCACCCGAGACUCAGUGAAAUUGAACUCGCUGUGAAGAUGCAGUGUACCCGCGGCAAGACGGAAAGACCCCGUGAACCUUUACUAUAGCUUGACACUGAACAUUGAGCCUUGAUGUGUAGGAUAGGUGGGAGGCUUUGAAGUGUGGACGCCAGUCUGCAUGGAGCCGGCCUUGAAAUACCACCCUUUAAUGUUUGAUGUUCUAACGUUGACCCGUAAUCCGGGUUGCGGACAGUGUCUGGUGGGUAGUUUGACUGGGGCGGUCUCCUCCUAAAGAGUAACGGAGGAGCACGAAGGUUGGCUAAUCCUGGUCGGACAUCAGGAGGUUAGUGCAAUGGCAUAAGCCAGCUUGACUGCGAGCGUGACGGCGCGAGCAGGUGCGAAAGCAGGUCAUAGUGAUCCGGUGGUUCUGAAUGGAAGGGCCAUCGCUCAACGGAUAAAAGGUACUCCGGGGAUAACAGGCUGAUACCGCCCAAGAGUUCAUAUCGACGGCGGUGUUUGGCACCUCGAUGUCGGCUCAUCACAUCCUGGGGCUGAAGUAGGUCCCAAGGGUAUGGCUGUUCGCCAUUUAAAGUGGUACGCGAGCUGGGUUUAGAACGUCGUGAGACAGUUCGGUCCCUAUCUGCCGUGGGCGCUGGAGAACUGAGGGGGGCUGCUCCUAGUACGAGAGGACCGGAGUGGACGCAUCACUGGUGUUCGGGUUGUCAUGCCAAUGGCACUGCCCGGUAGCUAAAUGCGGAAGAGAUAAGUGCUGAAAGCAUCUAAGCACGAAACUUGCCCCGAGAUGAGUUCUCCCUGACUCCUUGAGAGUCCUGAAGGAACGUUGAAGACGACGACGUUGAUAGGCCGGGUGUGUAAGCGCAGCGAUGCGUUGAGCUAACCGGUACUAAUGAACCGUGAGGCUUAACCU
rnacentral:rRNA from 1 species